UCUUCGUGCAUUUGGCAAGUUAAAUAACUGCCCGUGAUGUCAGAAUGAAAUAUUUACACAACCAUGUAGCUGGCUGUAUUAGGCCCUUUCACAAUUUGACGCGGUGUUGUGCAAUCAUAAGUUUGCAGUUUCAGCAGUGAUUGCAAUAAACUGAACAUUUCUUAUUGUUUAGGGAUGUCACGAUUUCGUGAAACGGAGGCAUCUCUACACCACAUGAGAGCCUGGGGCAAAAUGCAGCCUGAGCAGCCCGACAAGGAAUCUGAUCUGCUUGCUUUGACAAGGUAUGGCUGGGCCUGCAGAGAAAGUGUAAACAGACUGCUGUGUUGCUGAUCAGUGCUGAUCUCCACACCUGAGUUGGUCCCACAACAUCCAGCCACCAGUGUGCUUUGCUUCAUCAUUGACAAGGUGCGCUGCAAGCUGUCACUCAAGCAACACAUUCCAGUGGUGUUCUUUCAACAGAAUGGGUGUAUUGAAGUACCAUUACAAGGUCCAAUAAACAACGCUUGCGAGAUGUACGACGUGCUCUUGCUUAAAAUAGGAGGACUUCACUAUUAAUGUUAGCUUGAAUAGGUGUGCUGAUGAACCUGUGUUAAGUGUACUUGUUUAUUAACAAGUACAAACCAUUACCUCACCUGACAUUUUUUCACGUCAACAUAACUAUUUACUGUAGAUUUCUGAACGAGCCAUUACAUCAGCACAACACUGCAGUAAGGUCAGCACAAGUGUUCGUGCAUGAACACUUGUAUUUACAAGAAUUGUAUUUGCAUUAUUAUACUAAGUAUGACUCUAAGGUGCCUAUCUUUUUCAGGGUGCAUACUCUCGCAGGUCGUACAAGCUCGUCAUCUUGUACGCACUCAGCUCAUAGAAACAAACUCGUUCAUUUAGUAUGAGAAUCUCGUUCAGUGACAAGAGCGCGAUCUCGUACACUAGUGUAAGAGUUCUCGUAGACUGAUCGAGUUCUCGUACAGUCUACGAAGCAAUAAUCGUGUACAACUAUUUCUCGUACAUUCUCGUUCACAAUUUUUCCUUACCA